rnacentral:lncRNA from 1 species
AACAUGUGCAUCUCUUCCUCAGAAGACACCCAUAACGACCUCCAUUGGCCUCAGCCAAAGUCUAAGGUGACACAUGAACAGAAGAUAAUCCUGAGGACCUCAUCCCGAAUAUAAUCUUCAACUCCAAUCUCUAUUUGGACCCCGAUCUCCAGAAAAUGCCUCAACACUUCCUUUUCUCCAAUUGAACCCCGAUCUCCAGAAAAUGCCUCA